rnacentral:rRNA from 1 species
UACGAAGGGGGCUAGCGUUGCUCGGAAUCACUGGGCGUAAAGCGCACGUAGGCGGGUUGUUAAGUCGGGGGUGAAAUCCUGGAGCUCAACUCCAGAACUGCCUUCGAUACUGGCGACCUUGAGUCCGGGAGAGGUGAGUGGAACUCCGAGUGUAGAGGUGAAAUUCGUAGAUAUUCGGAAGAACACCAGUGGCGAAGGCGGCUCACUGGCCCGGUACUGACGCUGAGGUGCGAAAGCGUGGGGAGCAAACGGG